GCCGACUUAGCUCAACUGGUAGAGCAACUGACUUGUAAUCAGUAGGUUGUGGGUUCAAGUCCUAUAGUCGGCACCA
rnacentral:tRNA from 1 species